UACAGAGGGUGCAAGCGUUGUCCGGAAUCAUUGGGCGUAAAGCGCGCGUAGGCGGCCCGAUAAGUCUGCUGUGAAAGUCCAGGGCUCAACCCUGGAAUGCCGGUGGAUACUGUCGGGCUAGAGUUCGGAAGAGGCAAGUGGAAUUCCUGGCGUAGCGGUGGAAUGCGCAGAUAUCAGGAGGAACACCUAUAGCGAAGGCAGCUUGCUGGGACGACACUGACGCUGAGGCGCGAAAGCGUGGGGAGCGAACAGG
rnacentral:rRNA from 1 species